AUCUUGUGAGCAAGUUCGUUACCAACUCUAAACUCAGAAUAAUAUUAGCAGACGAUGAAUUGUCCAAGAGUAAUAUGAUUCGAGUGAUGAUCUACUUCGAGACGCUGAACGUAGAGCGCGUGGAGCAAAUGCCCCGAUACACAAUUCCAAAUAUUCUGGGUAAUUUAGGUGGACUCAUGGGCUUAUUCACCGGGAUGUCGUUCGUCAGUUUGUUUGAGGUCACCUUUCUCCUGCUAAAGGUCACACAAAUCACUUUCACCAAAUUCUUUUUUGCCAACCGAGUGCAUUCUCUUAAAGCCUAAUUGAUAAUAUGUAAGAGGUGUUUUCUUAUUCGA